UGGGGAAUAUUGCACAAUGGGCGCAAGCCUGAUGCAGCCAUGCCGCAUGUAUGAAGAAGGCCUUCGGGUUGUAAAGUACUUUCAGCGGGGAGGAAGGUGUUGUGGUUAAUAACCACAGCAAUUGACGUUACCCGCAGAAGAAGCACCGGCUAACUCCGUGCCAGCAGCCGCGGUAAUACGGAGGGUGCAAGCGUUAAUCGGAAUUACUGGGCGUAAAGCGCACGCAGGCGGUCUGUCAAGUCGGAUGUGAAAUCCCCGGGCUCAACCUGGGAACUGCAUCCGAAACUGGCAGGCUUGAGUCUUGUAGAGGGGGGUAGAAUUCCAGGUGUAGCGGUGAAAUGCGUAGAGAUCUGGAGGAAUACCGGUGGCGAAGGCGGCCCCCUGGACAAAGACUGACGCUCAGGUGCGAAAGCGUGGGGAGCAAACA
rnacentral:rRNA from 1 species